rnacentral:rRNA from 1 species
GAUAAACGCUGGCGGCGUGCCUAAUACAUGCAAGUCGAACGAGGGAUCCUUGUAGCAAUACGGGGAUUUCCUAGUGGCGAAUGGGUGAAUAACGCGUUGGUGACCUGCCCCGAAGAGGGGGAUAACAGUCCGAAAGGAUUGCUAAUACCCCAUGUGGUUAUCGGGAUCAGAAUCUGAUAACUAAAGUCGUAAGACACUUUGGGAGGGACCUGCGUCCCAUCAGCUAGUUGGUAAGGUAACGGCCUACCAAGGCUAUGACGGGUAGGGGACCUGAGAGGGUGGACCCCCACAAUGGCACUGAAACACGGGCCAUACACCUACGGGUGGCUG